rnacentral:rRNA from 1 species
GACGAACGCUGGCGGCGUGCCUAAUACAUGCAAGUCGAGCGAAGUUUUUCUGGUGCUUGCACUAGAAAAACUUAGCGGCGAACGGGUGAGUAACACGUAAAGAACCUGCCUCAUAGACUGGGACAACUAUUGGAAACGAUAGCUAAUACCGGAUAACAGUAUUUCUCGCAUGAGAGAUAUUUAAAAGUUGGUUAUGCUAACACUAUGAGAUGGCUUUGCGGUGCAUUAGCUAGUUGGUGGGGUAAAGGCCCACCAAGGCGACGAUGAAUAGCCGACCUGAGAGGGUGAUCGGCCACACUGGGACUGAGACACGGCCCAGACUCCUACGGGAGGCAGCAGUAGGGAAUCUUCCGCAAUGGGCGAAAGCCUGACGGAGCAACGCCGCGUGAGUGAAGAAGGAUUUCGGUUCGUAAAGCUCUGUUGUUAGGGAAGUAUGGAUAUGUAGUAACUAUACAUGUAAGAGACGGUACCUAACCAGAAAGCCACGGCUAACUACGUG